UAAGACGAACCGUGCGAACGUUGUUCGGAUUCACUGGGCUUAAAGGGCGCGUAGGCGGCCAGCCAAGUCAGGGGUGAAAUCGUCCGGCUCAACCGGACAAGUGCUUCUGAUACUGGCGGGCUGGAGGGAGGUAGGGGCAGACGGAACUUCCGGUGGAGCGGUGAAAUGCGUAGAUAUCGGAAGGAACGCCGGUGGCGAAAGCGGUCUGCUGGAUCUCUUCUGACGCUGAGGCGCGAAAGCCAGGGGAGCAAACGGGAUUAGAUACCCCGGUAGUCCUGGCCCUAAACGAUGGGGACUAGGUAGUGGACUUGACAUGGGUUCACUGCCGAAGCUAAAGUGCUAAGUCCCCCGCCUGGGGAGUAUGGUCGCAAGGCUG
rnacentral:rRNA from 1 species